rnacentral:rRNA from 1 species
UGCGUUGUCGUCAGCUCGUGUCGUGAGAUGUUGGGUUAAGUCCCGUAACGAGCGCAACCCUUGUCCUUAGUUACCAGCACGUUAUGGUGGGCACUCUAAGGAGACUGCCGGUGACAAACCGGAGGAAGGUGGGGAUGACGUCAAGUCAUCAUGGCCCUUACGGCCUGGGCUACACACGUGCUACAAUGGUCGGUACAAAGGGUUGCCAAGCCGCGAGGUGGAGCUAAUCCCAUAAAACCGAUCGUAGUCCGGAUCGCAGUCUGCAACUCGACUGCGUGAAGUCGGAAUCGCUAGUAAUCGUGAAUCAGAAUGUCACGGUGAAUACGUUCCCGGGCCUU